rnacentral:rRNA from 1 species
CCUACGGGUGGCAGCAGUGGGGAAUAUUGGACAAUGGGGGCAACCCUGAUCCAGCCAUGCCGCGUGUGUGAAGUAGGCCCUCGGGUUGUAAAGCACUUUCAGUGAGGAAGAACGCCUGGUGGUUAAUACCCAUCAGGAAAGACAUCACUCACAGAAGAAGCACCGGCUAACUCCGUGCCAGUAGCCGCGGUAAUACGGAGGGUGCGAGCGUUAAUCGGAAUUACUGGGCGUAAAGCGCGCGUAGGUGGCUUGAUAAGCCGGUUGUGAAAGCCCCGGGCUCAACCUGGGAACGGCAUCCGGAACUGUCAAGCUAGAGUGCAGGAGAGGAAGGUAGAAUUCCCGGUGUAGCGGUGAAAUGCGUAGAGAUCGGGAGGAAUACCAGUGGCGAAGGCGGCCUUCUGGACUGACACUGACACUGAGGUGCGAAAGCGUGGGUAGCAAACAGGAUUAGAUACCCCAGUAGUC